GGCGGCGUGCUUAACACAUGCAAGUCGAACGGAGAUAAGCGCGGAUUUGAAGGAAGCUUGCUUUUGGAUUUAUCUUGCUUAUCUUAGUGGCGGACGGCGAGUAACGCGUGAGUAACCUGCCCUUCAGUGGGGGACAACAGUUGGAAACGACUGCUAAUACCGCAUGACACUGAUGAGGGGCAUCCCUUAUCAGUCAAAGCUUAAUGUGCUGAAAGAUGGCUUCGCGUCUGAUUAGCUAGAUGGCGGGGUAACGGCCCACCAUGGCGACGAUCAGUAGCCGGUCUGAGAGGAUGAACGGCCACAUUGGGACUGAGACACGGCCCAGACUCCUACGGGAGGCAGCAGUGGGGAAUCUUCCGCAAUGGACGAAAGUCUGACGGAGCAACGCCGCGUGAACGAUGACGGCCUUCGGGUUGUAAAGUUCUGUUAUACGGGACGAAUGGCGUAGCGGUCAAUACCCGUUACGAGUGACGGUACCGUAAGAGAAAGCCACGGCUAACUACGUG
rnacentral:rRNA from 1 species